rnacentral:rRNA from 1 species
CCUACGGGAGGCAGCAGUGGGGAAUAUUGGGCAAUGGGCGUAAGCCUGACCCAGCAACGCCGCGUGAAGGAAGAAGGCUUUCUGGUUGUAAACUUCUUUUCUCAGGGACGAAGCAAGUGACGGUACCUGAGGAAUAAGCCACGGCUAACUACGUGCCAUCAGCCGCGGUAAUACGUAGGGGGCAAGAGUUAUCCGGAUUUACUGGGUGUAAAGGGCGUGUAGGCGGGAAAGCAAGUCAGGUGUGAAAACCAUGGGCUCAACCUGUGGCCUGCAUUUGAAACUGUUGUUCUUGAGUAGUGGAGAGGUAGACGGAAUGCGUGGUGUAGCGGUGAAAUGCGUAGAGAUUAGGAAGAACACCGGUGGCGAAGGCGGUAUGCUGGACAGCAACUGACGCUGAGGCGCGAAAGCGUGGGGAGCAAACAGGAUUAGAUACCCGUGUAGUC